rnacentral:rRNA from 1 species
GUGGAGCAUGUGGCUUAAUUUGACCCAACGCGGGAAAUCUUACCAGGUCCGGACAUAUUGAGGAUUGACAGGUGAUAGUUAUAAUAAUAUUUAUAUUAUUAUAGCAUAAAUAUGAUAGUCCUUUCAUGAUUAUAUGAUAGGUGGUGCAUGGCCGUUCUUAGUUCGUGGAGUGAUCUGUCUGCUUAAUUGCGUUUCACUAUUUAAUAGGUAGUGUCUCUAAAUAAUAUAUUCAAUUGUUCUGCUUUAGUUUACUAAAGAAUGUGAACUUGAUUUAUUAUAUAGAACAUUUAACCUUAAUGUGAAUGCAACGAACGUGACCG